UUCCAAUUACUAACAACAGUAAUGGCAUUAAUAUUGGGCUAGACCAUAACCCACAUUGGUCCACAGCAGACUGUGAGUCGCCCGGGUUUAUUCACACUCGUCUAGCAAAGGGAAACGAGAGUUUCAAUAACAUAUGGUACAGAGGUAACAUUAUUUCUGUCUAAUACACAUGGCUAAGCCUCAUAAGAACAAGUUCAGAUCAUAAUUGGUUGGUAUCCAUCUUCGUACUUAUUCCUACGCCUGUAACCCACAGCGGCAGCAAUGACAGCAACUCCGGCUAAAACAAAUGCUCCCCAAACAAAAGCAGAAUGGUUUAUAUCACUGUCCAUCUGCAAAAACCAGGCAGUUAUCACUUAUCAGAUGCUUGGUGUUUCUUGUUAAAAUCACGAAGAGGAUUAUAGUUCUAUUAUCGCCUAAGAAUCAUAUUAAACAGUUUCUACUCCCGCAAAUAAUAAUCUUCUCAUCAACACUAAUCAAACGACUGUCUAUAAUCCAUUCUCUAUACCAUUUCGAUAAUCUAAGAGGCAAGACAAUAUUCCUACUCAAUUCUAGAAUAAGUUUUUUGUAUCUGCCGUAUUUUUGCAUGUGCUCACAAGCAUAAUAACUUGUAUUGCUGAACUCACUAUCUAAAAAUAUGAAAAGGGAAUCUUACCUUGUUGAAAACAUCUAAGAAUGAACUGGACUCGGGCACCCUGUCUGCAACCAAAAUGUAGAAAAGCCCCAUGACUCCUGUGUGUUCGCGGGAGCUACUAUAGCUAGAUUCCACAAUCAGAGUUUCCCCAUCUGUUAUCCUGAGGGAGCCUGGUUUAGGAUAACAGGUCGAC
rnacentral:lncRNA from 1 species